rnacentral:snoRNA from 1 species
AGGCUAUGAUGAGAAAAGUCAUGCACCACUCUGAAGAAAUUUUUCUCUUUGUGCUGAUAAAGCAAAACUUACAACCCAUUUUACAUCUGAGCCA